GGGGAGCUCGCCACCGCUAUGCUUCAUUCGGACUGAAGCUGCGGAGGAAGCGUUGCAUAUUGUUUGGGUUCUUUGAGGAGAACACACCGCUCUGCUUUCAUCUAUGUCCUGUAGCUGCUCAUCUCAACUCAACUUCCUUUUCUAUGCUGUACUGAUUGUCACCAUGGAUUCUUAGAGCUGAGUAAAGGGAAACCACAGGUCUUCUGGGUACAGCCAAGAGAAGCUUUUUGUCAGCUUCAAUCAGCAGCAGCUUUCCAAGGGAGGUACAUCAGGACACAGAAAAUGGAAACUCCUGCAAACAGACAGCGAGAAGUGGAGCAGCAGAACAUUUUCCACAGACAGUUUUCCUGCCCGUUGGCUUGUUUUAACCAGUUUUCUACCUUCGGCUGAUUUUACCAGCAGACACUGAAAGGACUCUGAUAGUUCGAGUGAAAGUAGCAACUCCUUAAGGUCAGAGAUUGCAGCAUCUGAGGGCCUCUUCAAAAGAAGACGUAGUUGAUGAAGGCGUUCUGGGGCAGGACCAGAAAGACCACGACCAAGCAGCCUUCAGAUCUUAGGCAGCGUUUCCCUCAGGUGGGUGUCAACGGUGUUCACGGUCAGGUCUGUGGUAAUAAAAAAAUGUCAUAGUAUAGCAUGUUGCUUUAAAAACGUCAUAGAUGGCAUGUCGCUCAAAAAAUGUCAUAGUAUAGCUUUUGGUCCAACAGAUGUCAUAGUUUAGCAUGUCGUUCAAGAAAAUAUCAUAGUAUAGCAUGUCAGUCUAAAAACGUCGUAGUAUAGCCUUUGGUCCAAAAAAUGUCACAGCAUAGCAUGUCGUCCAAAAAAACUUCAUAAUAUAGCAUGUCGUCCAAAAAACAUCAUAGUAUAGCAUGUCGUCCAAAAAGCAUCAUAGUAUAGCAUGUCUCUUUAAAAUUGUCACAGUAUAGCAUGUCGUCCAAAAAACGUCAGAGUAUAGCCAUUGGUUUAAAAACGUCAUAGUGUAGCAUGUCGCUCUAAAAAUGUCAUAGUAUAGCAUGUCGCUCUAAAAACGUCAUAGUAUAGCAUGUCGCCCAAAAAAUGUCAUAGUAUAGC